rnacentral:tRNA from 1 species
UCCCAGGUAGCUCAGUGGUAAAGAAUCUGCCUGCCAAGCAGGAGACUUGGGUUCAAUCCCUGGAUUGGAAA